UUGACGGGGCCCGCACAAGCGGAGGAACAUGUGGUUUAAUUCGAUGAUACGCGAGGAACCUUACCUGGGCUUAAAUGGGAGUGACAGCGGGUGAAAGCCGGUUUUCUUCGGACACUCUUCAAGGUGCUGCAUGGUUGUCGUCAGCUCGUGCCGUGAGGUGUCGGGUUAAGUCCCAUAACGAGCGCAACCCCUACUGUUAGUUGCCAGCGAGUAAUUUCGGGAACUCUAGCGGGACUGCCACCGUAAGGUGAGAGGAAGGUGGGGAUGACGUCAAAUCAGCACGGCCCUUAUGUCCAGGGCUACACACGUGUUACAAUGGCCGGUACAAAGGGCAGCUACACCGCGAGGUGAUGCUAAUCUCGAAAGCCGGUCUCAGUUCGGAUCGAAGUCUGCAACCCGACUUCGUGAAGUUGGAUUCGCUAGUAAUCGCGGAUCAGCAUGCCGCGGUGAAUACGUUCCCGGGCCUU
rnacentral:rRNA from 1 species